GGGAGAGUCCCACCAGUCGUCACACACUUGGAGGGGCUGCCACUCAUUUUUCAGAAUUUUUUUCUAUGUGCUGAAACGUUUUGGUGGAGAAUGUGAAAUCGAAGCAUUUUUCUUUUCAUUUGAAAAUGGAUAAUUCUUGCUAGGUUUGGCUGCAGCAUUUUAUUAUUCAAGCUUCUUCUUUGCACAUGGUUGAAUGAAAGGUAGGUGCCGGUUUGAUGUGGAAGUAAGGGCUGGAAUGGUGCAUUCAAAUUUACUUUCAACUUUCUUUGCUUGCUAUUGCUGCAACGUUGAUUCAUUUAGAAGCAGCUGCUGGCACUAGCAAUUUAUUUUCUUGGAAGUGCAGCACGGUUCCCUUUCAAUUCUUUUCUUUGCUUUGAAGGAGCCGUCACUUGGUGGAUUCUCCCGAG
rnacentral:lncRNA from 1 species